rnacentral:sRNA from 1 species
GCUUUAAAAUUUUAAAAAAUAGGAACCUUAGUUGUCAAAGAAAUCCAAAUCCGCUAGAUGUAUCAAAGUGUUGAGAAAGCUUCUCCUAAGAGUUAAGAGAGAAGAAAAGAAUGAUUAGAAAAAGGGCUUAAAGGAUUCAUGAAUGCAAAGGGUAGAGUUAAGUUCUUAUACUGGGAUUGGAGAUGGGAUUACCAUUAGAGCUUCAUUUGAUAUACUCUGGGUAGAUGGGAUCUUAUCUCUGUAUGCAUAGCUUGGGACUUACCUUUAGCAUUCUACUAAAGCUCAAUCAUUUUUUGAGAGAUCCCCUGUUGCUGAAGCCUAUUCUAUAAGGGACCAUCUUUGUCUCUUGGCCUUUACCUUAGCCAAAUGAGUUCAUUGAUGAUACAUUGCUUGAUUCACGUUCGAGAACUAAUGAAUGUUAAAGGGAUUGGUAGAUUUGAAAACAUU